rnacentral:lncRNA from 1 species
GGGAUUUGGACUCUGAUCCUUGUGUCCUGAUGUCCAAGGAUGGACACUCUUUGGGAUGGUCUAUGUGCAGAGCCGCCGGCAUCAGUAUCUACCUCGUGUUGUAUCGGUUUCCACCAUUCUCUCCCCCAGUUUGUAUCUGUUUCGGUCUUUUGGUUUGGCUAGCCACCGUCUGUCUUUGGGAUGGACCGGCGGCAUUGGAGGUAGUAUUUGGACCAGUGAAAGAGAGUGAACUUCUGGCUUCUCGAAAAUCUAUGUCGGGGAACGCAAUCUUUAGGAGAUCGAAAAAUAGAUCGUGCACUUUCCUCGCUUCAGAUCUAACCUGCAUGGUGUGUAAAUGAAACUUCAGACUGCUUUCCACUUCAGUAAACAUUGAUUCACAGACUAAAAUAACCGACUCAGUAAAUCCUAUAUUCAGAAACCAGAACAUUCACAAGUCCAAGAAUCUAUAAUGAAGCCGUACUGAAAGCAUACCUCAUGUGAAAAGCCAUAGAACUGCAUAGCACCCUUUAACAUGAACUGAACAUCAAACACAAGCUCCAUCAUUCCACCAUAUUCCGAUCUAUCUACGCGCUGCUCAAUCUUUCUCAAAUCCAAAAGAUUAUUUCCACCACCGCUCAUAUAGCCAGUUUCAAUCCUCUUCCAUAGAUCAGUCAAGAGAGGCACAAUUUGUUGGCCUUCCUUCUCAAUUUUCCUUUGGAG